rnacentral:siRNA from 1 species
UCCAGCUUCUUUCAGGUACUAC